rnacentral:rRNA from 1 species
GGUCAAGCGAACAAGUGCAUGUGGUGGAUGCCUUGGCGAUCACAGGCGAUGAAGGACGCGGUAGCCUGCGAAAAGCUACGGGGAGCUGGCAAACGAGCUUUGAUCCGUAGAUGUCCGAAUGGGGAAACCCGGCCCUUUUGGGUCAUCCUAGACUGAAUACAUAGGUCUAGUGAAGCGAACGCGGUGAACUGAAACAUCUAAGUAACCGCAGGAAAAGAAAUCAACCGAGAUUCCCAAAGUAGUGGCGAGCGAAAUGGGAUGAGCCUUGCACUCUUUAUUUGUAUUGUUAGCCGAACGCUCUGGAAAGUGCGGCCAUAGCAGGUGAUAGCCCUGUAGGCGAAAACAGUAUGAAAGAACUAGGUGUGCGACAAGUAGGGCGGGACACGUGAAAUCCUGUCUGAAGAUGGGGGGACCAUCCUCCAAGGCUAAAUACUCGUGAUCGACCGAUAGUGAACCAGUACCGUGAGGGAAAGGCGAAAAGAACCCCGGGAGGGGAGUGAAAUAGAUCCUGAAACCGCAUGCAUACAAACAGUCGGAGCCUCGUAAGGGGUGACGGCGUACCUUUUGUAUAAUGGGUCAGCGACUUACGUUCAGUAGCAAGCUUAACCGUAUAGGGCAGGCGUAGCGAAAGCGAGUCCGAAUAGGGCGUUCAGUUGCUGGGCGUAGACCCGAAACCAGGUGAUCUAUCCAUGGCCAGGAUGAAGGUGCGGUAACACGUACUGGAGGUCCGAACCCACUAACGUUGAAAAGUUAGGGGAUGAGCUGUGGAUAGGGGUGAAAGGCUAAACAAACCUGGAAAUAGCUGGUUCUCUCCGAAAACUAUUUAGGUAGUGCCUCGUGUCUCACCUUCGGGGGUAGAGCACUGUCAUGGUUGGGGGGUCUAUUGCAGAUUACCCCGCCAUAGCAAACUCCGAAUACCGAAGAGUGCAAUCACGGGAGACAGACAUCGGGUGCUAACGUCCGGUGUCAAGAGGGAAACAACCCAGACCGCCAGCUAAGGUCCCCAAAUAUAGCUAAGUGGGAAACGAAGUGGGAAGGCUAAAACAGUCAGGAGGUUGGCUUAGAAGCAGCCACCCUUUAAAGAAAGCGUAAUAGCUCACUGAUCGAGUCGUCCUGCGCGGAAGAUGUAACGGGGCUAAGCUAUAUACCGAAGCUGCGGAUGCGAGCUUGCUCGCAUGGUAGGAGAGCGUUCCGUAAGCCUGCGAAGGUGCCUUGUAAAGGGUGCUGGAGGUAUCGGAAGUGCGAAUGCUGACAUGAGUAGCGAUAAAGGGGGUGAAAGGCCCCCUCGCCGUAAGCCCAAGGUUUCCUACGCAACGUUCAUCGGCGUAGGGUGAGUCGGCCCCUAAGGCGAGGCAGAAAUGCGUAGCUGAUGGGAAGCAGGUCAAUAUUCCUGCACCAUUGUUAGAUGCGAUGGGGGGACGGAUCGCGGAAGGUUGUCCGGGUGUUGGAAGUCCCGGUCGCUGCAUUGGAGAAGGCGCUUAGGCAAAUCCGGGCGCGUAAUUCAAGGGUGUGGCGCGAGCUCCUUAGGGAGCGAAGCAAUUGGAAGUGGUUCCAAGAAAAGCCUCUAAGCUUCAGUCUAACGAUGACCGUACCGCAAACCGACACAGGUGGGCGAGAUGAGUAUUCUAAGGCGCUUGAGAGAACUCGGGAGAAGGAACUCGGCAAAUUGGUACCGUAACUUCGGGAUAAGGUACGCCCUUGUAGCUUGACUGGCCUGCGCCAGGAGGGUGAAGGGGUUGCAAUAAACUGGUGGCUGCGACUGUUUAAUAAAAACACAGCACUCUGCAAACACGAAAGUGGACGUAUAGGGUGUGACGCCUGCCCGGUGCCGGAAGAUUAAAUGAUGGGGUGCAAGCUCUUGAUUGAAGUCCCGGUAAACGGCGGCCGUAACUAUAACGGUCCUAAGGUAGCGAAAUUCCUUGUCGGGUAAGUUCCGACCUGCACGAAUGGCGUAACGAUGGCCACACUGUCUCCUCCCGAGACUCAGCGAAGUUGAAGUGUUUGUGAUGAUGCAAUCUACCCGCGGCUAGACGGAAAGACCCCAUGAACCUUUACUGUAGCUUUGCAUUGGACUUUGAACCGAUCUGUGUAGGAUAGGUGGGAGGCUAUGAAACCGGAACGCUAGUUUCGGUGGAGCCGUCCUUGAAAUACCACCCUGGUUUGUUUGAGGUUCUAACCUUGGCCCGUGAUCCGGGUCGGGGACAGUGCAUGGUAGGCAGUUUGACUGGGGCGGUCUCCUCCCAAAGCGUAACGGAGGAGUACGAAGGUACGCUAGGUACGGUCGGAAAUCGUGCUGAUAGUGCAAUGGCAUAAGCGUGCUUAACUGCGAGACCGACAAGUCGAGCAGGUGCGAAAGCAGGUCAUAGUGAUCCGGUGGUUCUGUAUGGAAGGGCCAUCGCUCAACGGAUAAAAGGUACUCUGGGGAUAACAGGCUGAUACCGCCCAAGAGUUCAUAUCGACGGCGGUGUUUGGCACCUCGAUGUCGGCUCAUCUCAUCCUGGGGCUGUAGCCGGUCCCAAGGGUAUGGCUGUUCGCCAUUUAAAGAGGUACGUGAGCUGGGUUUAAAACGUCGUGAGACAGUUUGGUCCCUAUCUGCCGUGGGCGUUGGAUAUUUGAAGGGGGCUGCUCCUAGUACGAGAGGACCGGAGUGGACGAACCUCUGGUGUACCGGUUGUCACGCCAGUGGCAUCGCCGGGUAGCUAUGUUCGGAAGAGAUAACCGCUGAAAGCAUCUAAGCGGGAAACUCGCCUUAAGAUGAGAUAUCCCUGG